UGCGGGUCCUGCCUUCGGCACGCAGGGAAGAUGCUGUAGUGGCGAGCCGGGGAUAACCGGGCCUGCGGCUUCCUGUCCUUACAUCCCGUGUGUCGACAGCCGAUCGCCAGCUAUGGCACCUUCUUCAGUCUGAAAGUCUGCCUCCUCGAAGACUCACCGUCUUCACCUUGGCUGCAGGCUCCACCCGCAAAGUGAGACACAGGAGUGACUCAGCCGAGAUGUUCAGCACCAAGAGGCUGAAGAAGAAAUCUCAGUCAGUGGACAUUACCGCUCAAGGAUAUCCUGCCCCUUUGGUGACGGCAGCAUCGCAGAUAAACAGGGGCGCUCCACCGGUGGCCAAGACAACCACGUUCGAGUUGCAAGGAAGCAACGUGGCCAAUUCUCAGCGCCACGGCCCGCGGGGCACUGAACUGAAGCGGUAUC